GAUGUGUCAGGUAUACUUAGUUAUUAUUUUAUUUAUUUAGGGAAAAUUAGCAGGAUGUUCAAUUUACUCGUGGAGGGAUUUUGCUUGGUGUGUGGCUCUAGAAUGGCUAUGGGUGAAUUUGAAUUUGAAUCGAAAUUUAGCUCCUCCAGGUUGGUUUCUUCAACGAACGUGCCAUGGCCUAGUUCAUUAUUUGAAUCGAAAUAUAGCUCCUGGUUUCUUGAACAGAGCUCCAACGGAAACAAACUAUAUGUAUGUUCGAUCUCACAGUAGUCAAAGUUAAUUUUUACAACCCGACCUUUAUUUGAAUGAUUGUCUUAAUGGGAAACUUUGACAAAAUUAUUUGAAUAACGUGUCCAUUUGUAACCCAGAUUCUGAUAGUUCCCUCCCCCUUCCCACUUUCUAAAGCAUCAUGGUUUUAUGAAAAAUGUGUGGUUUGUGGCAGGAAAGAAUUCUGAUUGCGGCAUCUUAGCUUUAAUCACACAAUCCUACCGUUGGACUAAAGGACGAAAUGAAAGAAAAAUAAAAAUUAUUAACGAAUUAUUAUCUAGUACGAAUUAAAAAAUUUAGUGUGUACAUUGUACAUU
rnacentral:lncRNA from 1 species